ACAUCCUCACACAUUGUGGACGACAACCGGUUAUCGUAUUACUGUCGACUCUCUCAAUAAGGCCGAUCAUGGGAGUGUAGGGGAGGAUAUUUCUAACAAUUAGCAUACCUCCACGAACAAGCUCGAUGUGCAUUUAUGGCGUUUUGAACUGAACUCUCGCAAUAGGGCUGCUAAAAGAUCAUAUAAUAGCUACGUUAUUUUCUUCCAAUAUUUUACUUUUGUCGCCGGCUCUAUUAAGUCGUUGAAUAAAAAAUUCCGAAAAAUUCUAUCAGGUCCGGCGGAUAGAGUGACGGAAAAUAAUUGACAGGUAUUUUUUCUUUCUGAAAUUCAACGUUUAUUAACAAAGAUAUAGCCAGUUGAAUUUGCGUGACGUCAUAAUAUUGACAUUAUAGUAUAACUAUAUCUAUGCACAUUGUGACGUCACACGUCAAUUUCAAACUACUGUACCCAUGCUAAUAAACGUUUAAUUGAAAAAAGGAAAAAUACAUGUCAAUUAUUUUUCGACGUUUUAUCCGACGGUCCUAAUGGAAUUUUUGAUUCAACUAUCUGAAAUAGUAGGGGAAGCUGCUGAGCUCUCUUAAGGGGGGAACCCAGUUUAGACCGAUCGAAAAAUCGUCUUUUUUUUAUUGCAUGAAUCGUUAGUAUAACUAUUCAAGAAUAUGUGGUUAAAAUUUCAAAGCAAAAUUCCCAUUAGUUCGAAUGCAAUGAGCACUUAAGUGACCGCCCGUCGGUUCUGUGAAGAAGCGCACGGUAAUUAUAACGGAGCGGUCGCCCAGGCCCUUCUUUUCCAGCUACCUGCCUCAAUACCGCUGUGCUAUUGAAUAAUAGAAUGACGCAUAUGAGCAAGUAGAGGGAUUGCUAUAUGGCGCUGGAAUAGCUGAUUAACCGAUAAAAAUUGCGACGUCAGGGAUCUACGCAAGCCAAAUGCUCGGAUGGCAAUCGCCCAUGGACUGCACGCGGUAACUCCACUAUUU
rnacentral:lncRNA from 1 species